AGACAGCCAUCUUCAAAAUUACACAUGUUCACUGGACCAGUGGUUCGGAUGGACCCCACAGAGUAGGUGCUCCCUUCGCUACACCUGAAGACAUUUGGUAUGAAGCUGUAUUUAAAGAUGAAUUGUGUAAUCAGAACAUAUAUUAAAUAGUUUGGAUGAAACUGUAGUUAUGAAGAUAUUUAGGAAACAACACCUAAUACAGCAAGGGCCAGUGCAGAUGAAAACAAAAAUUGAAUGUGUCCCAUCAUUUCAUAUAUCUUUAAAAGAAGUCUUGAAAUUCUUAGUACUCCUGAAUACCUGCAAAAUGUGUAACAUUUUUUUAAGCCAGGAGCCCUGCCUGAUAUAGCAAGAAACUGACAAUUUAUUUUUCAAAGAAUUGGGGGGGGGGGGUUGAAUUACAUUUUUCUUCAUUGGUUUUCUAGGAAAGAUGCACUAUUCUUGAGAAUAUGAGUUUGUGUACAUUUAGUAUUUAUGAGUAACACCGAUAUGUUCCAAGAGUAAUAUUAGCUGUGCGUUGAAACUUUCUCUCUCGUUACUGAGAUUUUGUGAGUCCAGUCCAACAUGGUACAUCCGUUCUCCUUUGUCAUACUCAGAGGAGUGAAAUGUAUUGAACAGGAAUGCAAGGUAGAAAAUACAAAAUUUCUGCUGGUCACAACAUUUUUUUAUUGAUACAAAUAAGGAGAGUAAUAUAUUAUUUAUAUUCUAGGUGUAAUAUUAUUUCAUAUUUUAAAAUAUAAAUUAAGAGUGAGAAACAUGUUAUAGCUUCAGUGUGAAAUUGAAAGGGGGGUGAAUGCAAAUAAUAGGAAAAACUGUUAAUAUAGCUUGUAUUUUAUUAAAGGGAUGUAAUCUCAUUAGAAUAGGAGUUCUUUGUAUGAUUUAUAUUCUUGUGCAUAGUUUAUUGACUUUUGGAAAGAGUAGCUUUCUGAAAAAAGGAAGAAAAAUGUACUCUUCUGUUAUUUAUGAUAAAUCAAAAUUAUUUUGUUAUAGAGGACAGGUGAAGACCGACUAGAUGGAUUUACAAAUUAACAGAGAAAUGUGCACUCAUAAUAUAAUUGAACGUUAAGGAUAGCAAAUCACAUAUGAGUGAUCACCAUACCUUUUUGGGAUUUUGCUAUGUUGAGAACAAUAUCCUGGUUUAGUGAGCACCAGACCCUAGCUAGAAUUCAGCUGUACAUAUCAUCAUUAGUGGAUCGGAGUAUUCUGUCUCGUCUUUUAUUUUGUUAUGAAUGAUACUCGUCAGGUUUUAUCUUUAAGCGUGGUAAUAAGCAAAUUUUCAAACAAAUUUACGAUAGUUGCAAAGUUAAAGAAAUGAAAGAACAAUCACAAAGUGCUCUGAAUAUCUGUGUGUUGUGUGUGGUUUAACUUUUAGAGGUGGAAUACUCUCAGGACCAAAUUAUUUUGUGUUUAAAAGAUACAGAAUUUCAAAUGAAAAUCUUUUACUGUUCCGUAUUGCAUCAUGAACAGGUUGUAAAUACAUUUUAUUUUGCUGCAAGAGGUCUCAAAGGACUAAAUAUUAAACAUUGUAUCAGAGUUUAGCAAAGAAUAUAAUUUUCUAGGUAUUUCUGAUAUAUGCUCACUAAGCCAUUUCAAAAGAUUGUUACUUUGAAGUCUAAUUAACUAACAGGAAUUAUUCAUUUAUUUGUCUUCAUUAUCUUUCACUUGGUUAGUUCCUUAUAUUUAUUUUAGCAGUUUCUUUCAUUUAAAGAAAUUUGUAAAUUUUGUGUGUACGCAUUCAUACAUGCAUGCAAACACACACACAUCUCUCAUGUUAAUAACAUCGAUUGACAUUUGUAGAACUGGGUUUUGUGGUUGUUCACUGUCAGUGAAUGCAGUGGGCCUGCUAUAAUAUUACAAUUAUUGGCCCAUAUUGCAAUGGAAUUAAAAAUUUUAUUUUAACUGACUUGGUUGCAAAGGAUGUGAUGUUAAAUUGCUGAAUUAUAAAAUCAGAUUUUCUUAAAAAAAAUAUGCAGUUGGCAGUGUAAGUUUUAUUUAUAAACUUUAAAUAGCAAUGUGGCAUAUGAUAUGUUCUGUUGAAAUUCUUGUACAUGUAUGUUUGGUUUACGUAAAUAAACAUGAUGGAUUAGAUCCAAAUUUUGGGCCACAGGUUACCCAUGCCUGUGCCCUUUAAAGACGA